UAAGCGGAGGAAAAGAAACUAACUAGGAUUCCCUUAGUAACGGCGAGUGAACCGGGAUGAGCUCAAAUUUGAAAUCUGGCGUCUUUCAGGCGUCCGAGUUGUAAUCUAUAGAGGCGUUUUCCGCGCCGGACCGCGUCCAAGUCUCUUGGAAUAGAGUAUCAAAGAGGGUGACAAUCCCGUACUUGACGCGACAACCGGUGCUCUGUGAUACGUUCUCAAUGAGUCGAGUUGUUUGGGAAUGCAGCUCUAAAUGGGUGGUAAAUUCCAUCUAAGGCUAAAUAUUGGCGAGAGACCGAUAGCGAACAAGUACCGUGAGGGAAAGAUGAAAAGCACUUUGGAAAGAGAGUUAAACAGCACGUGAAAUUGUUAAAAGGGAAACGAUUGAAGUCAGUCGUGUGAGGGGUAUUCAGCCGUCUCUGGCGGUGUAUUUGCCUCUCACGGGUCAACAUCAGUUUGAUCCGGUAGAAAAAGGCGGGAGGAAGGUGGCACCCUCGGGUGUGUUAUAGCCUCCUGUCAUAUGUGCCGGACCAGACUGAGGAACGCAGCUUGCAGCAAUGCCGGGAUUCGUCCACGUACAAGCUUAGGAUGUUGACAUAAUGGCUUUAAACGAC
rnacentral:rRNA from 1 species